rnacentral:rRNA from 1 species
UACGUAGGGACCAAGCGUUGUUCGGAUUUACUGGGCGUAAAGGGCGCGUAGGCGGCAAUUCAAGUCAUCUGUGAAAUCUCCGGGCUUAACUCGGAACUGUCAGAUGAUACUGCUUUGCUAGAGUGCGGAAGGGGCAAUCGGAAUUCUUGGUGUAGCGGUGAAAUGCGUAGAUAUCAAGAGGAACACCUGAGGUGAAGACGGGUUGCUGGGCCGACACUGACGCUGAAGCGCGAAAGCCAGGGGAGCAAACGGG